GCACUGGUGGUUCAGUGGUAGAACUCUCACUUUCCAUGUGGGAGGCCCGAGUUGAUUCCCAGCCAACGCA
rnacentral:tRNA from 1 species